CAAAAACAUAACCAUUUGGUAUUAUAGAUGGCUCUUUCUGCUCAAUGAGGUUUAAAUGGCCGCAGUACCCUGACUGUGCAAAGGUAGCAUAAUAAUUUGGCUUUUAAUUGGGGUCUGGAAUGAAUGAAAAAUUGGAGAGAGGCUGUGUCAGGGGAAAUGUUUGAAAUUACUUAGUAGAUGAAAAUUUCUACAGUUAAAUAAUAGACGAGAAGACCCUUGAAAUUUCAAUAAUUGUAAUCUGUUCUUUUUGUUGGGGCGACAGAGUAGCAGGUAAACCUACUGAGAAGAAUUUGGUACUUGUUUGGUGACUAAUUAAAUUACUCAAGGGAUAACAGCAUAAUGAAAUUCGUUUGUGACCUCGAUGUUGGACUAGGAAAAUUAAACCCAGAAGGUGAUAGUUAUGGCUCUGUUCGAGCG
rnacentral:rRNA from 1 species